rfam:Salmo salar isolate Sally breed double haploid chromosome ssa12, whole genome shotgun sequence.
AAUGCACCAAUUUGUAAGUCGCUCUGGAUAAGAGUGUCUGCUAAAUGACUGAAA